rnacentral:rRNA from 1 species
UCCACGCCGUAAACGAUGUCAACUAACUGUUGGAACCUUAAAGGUUUUAGUGGUGGAGCUAACGUAUUAAGUUGACCGCCUGGGGAGUACGGCCGCAAGGCUAAAACUCAAAUGAAUUGACGGGGGCCCGCACAAGCGGUGGAGCAUGUGGUUUAAUUCGAUGCAACGCGAAGAACCUUACCUACCCUUGACAUCCAGAGAAUCUGUUAGAGAUAGUAGAGUGCCUUCGGGAA